rnacentral:rRNA from 2 species
GAACAUGAACGUCGUAUACAUGCAGUCGAGCGGACAGAAGGGAGCUUGCUCCCGGAUGUUAGCGGCGGACGGGUGAGUAACACGUGGGUAACCUGCCUGUAAGACUGGGAUAACUCCGGGAAACCGGAGCUAAUACCGGAUAGUUCCUUGAACCGCAUGGUUCAAGGAUGAAAGACGGUUUCGGCUGUCACUUACAGAUGGACCCGCGGCGCAUUAGCUAGUUGGUGAGGUAACGGCUCACCAAGGCGACGAUGCGUAGCCGACCUGAGAGGGUGAUCGGCCACACUGGGACUGAGACACGGCCCAGACUCCUACGGGAGGCAGCAGUAGGGAAUCUUCCGCAAUGGACGAAAGUCUGACGGAGCAACGCCGCGUGAGUGAUGAAGGUUUUCGGAUCGUAAAGCUCUGUUGUUAGGGAAGAACAAGUGCAAGAGUAACUGCUUGCACCUUGACGGUACCUAACCAGAAAGCCACGGCUAACUACGUGCCAGCAGCCGCGGUAAUACGUAGGUGGCAAGCGUUGUCCGGAAUUAUUGGGCGUAAAGGGCUCGCAGGCGGUUUCUUAAGUCUGAUGUGAAAGCCCCCGGCUCAACCGGGGAGGGUCAUUGGAAACUGGGAAACUUGAGUGCAGAAGAGGAGAGUGGAAUUCCACGUGUAGCGGUGAAAUGCGUAGAGAUGUGGAGGAACACCAGUGGCGAAGGCGACUCUCUGGUCUGUAACUGACGCUGAGGAGCGAAAGCGUGGGGAGCGAACAGGAUUAGAUACCCUGGUAGUCCACGCCGUAAACGAUGAGUGCUAAGUGUUAGGGGGUUUCCGCCCCUUAGUGCUGCAGCUAACGCAUUAAGCACUCCGCCUGGGGAGUACGGUCGCAAGACUGAAACUCAAAGGAAUUGACGGGGGCCCGCACAAGCGGUGGAGCAUGUGGUUUAAUUCGAAGCAACGCGAAGAACCUUACCAGGUCUUGACAUCCUCUGACAACCCUAGAGAUAGGGCUUUCCCUUCGGGGACAGAGUGACAGGUGGUGCAUGGUUGUCGUCAGCUCGUGUCGUGAGAUGUUGGGUUAAGUCCCGCAACGAGCGCAACCCUUGAUCUUAGUUGCCAGCAUUCAGUUGGGCACUCUAAGGUGACUGCCGGUGACAAACCGGAGGAAGGUGGGGAUGACGUCAAAUCAUCAUGCCCCUUAUGACCUGGGCUACACACGUGCUACAAUGGACAGAACAAAGGGCUGCGAGACCGCAAGGUUUAGCCAAUCCCACAAAUCUGUUCUCAGUUCGGAUCGCAGUCUGCAACUCGACUGCGUGAAGCUGGAAUCGCUAGUAAUCGCGGAUCAGCAU